ensembl:snoRNA small nucleolar RNA, C/D box 100
GCUGUACGUGAUGACAACUGGCUCCCUCUACUGAACCUGGUGAGGAAAACUGCCACGUCACCAUUUCUGACUUACAGC